AUUGAACGCUGGCGGCAGGCCUAACACAUGCAAGUCGAGCGGAUGAAGGGAGCUUGCUCCUGGAUUCAGCGGCGGACGGGUGAGUAAUGCCUAGGAAUCUGCCUGGUAGUGGGGGAUAACGUCCGGAAACGGGCGCUAAUACCGCAUACGUCCUGAGGGAGAAAGUGGGGGAUCUUCGGACCUCACGCUAUCAGAUGAGCCUAGGUCGGAUUAGCUAGUUGGUGGGGUAAAGGCCUACCAAGGCGACGAUCCGUAACUGGUCUGAGAGGAUGAUCAGUCACACGGGAAUGGAAACCGGGCCCAGCCCCCGAGGGGAGGCGCAGGGGGGAAUUUUGGAAAAAGGGGGAAAGCCCGGACCCAGCCAUGCGGUGUGUGGAAAAAGGGUCAAUGGUUUGUAAAGCAUUUUGAGGUGGGGGAAAGGGCAGUAAUUUAAUCCCUUUCUUUUUGGACUUCCCAAAAAAAAAAAGCACGGGCUAAUUUCGUC
rnacentral:rRNA from 1 species